rnacentral:rRNA from 1 species
AACGUAGGACACAAGCGUUAUCCGGAGUUACUGGGCGUAAAGGGCGUGUAGGCGGACCUAUAAGUCUAUUCUGAAAGCUCCUGGCUAAACUGGGAGAGGCGAAUGGAGACUGUAGAUCUAGAGUGAGGAAGAGGAAAGUGGAAUUCCGCGUGUAGCGGUGAAAUGCGUAGAUAUUGGGAGGAACACCGGUGGCGAAGGCGGCCCCCUGGACCGGUACUGACGCUGAGGCGCGAAAGCGUGGGUAGCAAACAGG